GAGGCGGUACUGUGAUCGCCCCACUUUACAGAUGAGAGGACAGACACACAGAGCCACGGAAACCAGCCCCGGGUCACACAGCUGGGAAGGGGCCGUGACUUUCCUACUCAGGCCCGCGGCACACAGAGCCCCAGAGAAAGGCUCAGGAGAAGGGAGACGCGUGGGACUAAUGGUCUUGGAAGCACAGCCGGGGUGACGGAAGCAGUGACAGCAUCUUCAUGCAGCCAGAAGCCGCUGACUCUACGAAGAAUGGAAGACGGCCUUGAGUGCUUUCCAGGUUUGAACUUCACUAAGGAAAAAGAAUAGCCUGUACAAAUGUCAAAGCCCGAAGUGAAAACUGAAGUCCUCAGCAUAAGCAGGAACCAUUCCCAGAUGGGAGGGAAAGUGCCUAGGAAGUUGCUGAGUCCACACUCAAGUUGUUGUUUGAUAAGUUUUACAAAAUGACAAA
rnacentral:lncRNA from 1 species